AGGAAAAAUGCAGAAUAAUGCUGGCACAGAUGUACUGGAAACGGCACUGUGGUGAACUGCUAUGGCACAGGAAACUGGUACAACAUUUUCACCAGAGCCUGGGAGCUGCGACUACUGGGCCGACGUGCUGAAACCACUGAAGGCUGCGCACCCUGGAGCUCAUGUUCUGCAACAAGAGAAGCCACAGCAACGAGAAGUCAGCGUAUGGCAACUAGAGUAGACCCCGCUCAGCACAAGAGAAAAAACCCACACCGCAAUGAAGACCCAGUGCAGUCAAAAAUAAAUAAUAAACAAAUGCAACUGAAAACACAAAACAGUUAUAAGCUA